rnacentral:rRNA from 1 species
AUUGAACGCUGGCGACAUGCCUUACACAUGCAAGUCGAACGGUAACAGGUCUUCGGACGCUGACGAGUGGCGAACGGGUGAGUAAUACAUCGGAACGUGCCCAGUCGUGGGGGAUAACUACUCGAAAGAGUAGCUAAUACCGCAUACGAUCUGAGGAUGAAAGCGGGGGACCUUCGGGCCUCGCGCGAUUGGAGCGGCCGAUGGCAGAUUAGGUAGUUGGUGGGAUAAAAGCUUACCAAGCCGACGAUCUGUAGCUGGUCUGAGAGGACGACCAGCCGAACUGGGACUGAGACACGGCCCAGACUCCUACGGGAGGCAGCAGUGGGGAAUUUUGGACAAUGGGCGAAAGCCUGAUCCAGCAAUGCCGCGUGCAGGAUGAAGGCCUUCGGGUUGUAAACUGCUUUUGUACGGAACGAAAAAGUCUCCUCUAAUACAGGAGGCCCAUGACGGUACCGUAAGAAUAAGCACCGGCUAACUACGUGCCAGCAGCCGCCGUAA